GUCGUGAGAUGUUGGGUUAAGUCCCGCAACGAGCGCAACCCUUGUCCUAUGUUGCCAGCGGGUUAUGCCGGGGACUCGUAGGAGACUGCCGGGGUCAACUCGGAGGAAGGUGGGGACGACGUCAAGUCAUCAUGCCCCUUAAGCCCAGGGCUGCAAACAUGCUACAAUGGCCAGUACAAAGGGCUGCUAUACCGCGAGGUUGAGCGAAUCCCAUAAAGCUGGUCUCAGUUCGGAUUGGAGUCUGCAACUCGACUCCAUGAAGCCGGAGUCGCUAGUAAUCCCGGAUCAGCAACGCCGGGGUGAAUACGUUCCCGGGCCUUGUACACACCGCCCGUCACACCACGAAAGUCGGCAACGCCCGAAGCCAGUGGCCUAACCCUUUGGGGAAGGAGCUGUCGAAGGUGGGGUCGGCGAUUGGGGUGAAGUCGUAACAAGGUAGCCGUACCGGAAGGUGCGGCUGGAUCACCUCCUUUCUAAGGAGAUCACCUCCACUUUGGAGGAGAACUCCCAGUUGAUGCACUCGUUACUCGGUGUCCGUUGAGACUCGAGCGGUCGUAGGUUCCGACCUCCCGACUCGAGCUCCAUGGUUCCGUCGUCCUCUGUUCCGCUUUGAAGGAGCGCCCCGACGUCCCCGGCCUUGCUGCCGGGGCGCCGUCGCGUCUGACGCCCCUUGAGAACUGCAUAGCGAGCACGAGCAUCUUUGUUCUUCCAAGCUACAAAGAGCCAACGGUGGAUGCCUUGGCGUCUACUACCGAUGAAGGACGUGUCUGGCUGCGAUAAGCCACGGGAAGCUGCCGAGAAAGCGUUGAUCCGUGGAUGU
rnacentral:sRNA from 1 species